rnacentral:rRNA from 1 species
CCCGCUGAACUUAAGCAUAUCAAUAAGCGGAGGAAAAGAAACUAACAAGGAUUCCCCUAGUAACGGCGAGUGAAGCGGGAUGAGCUCAAAUUUAAAAUCUGGUAGUCUUCUGGCUACCCGAGUUGUAAUCUAGAGAAGUGUUUUCUGUGCUGGACUGUGUACAAGUUUCCUGGAUACGGAACAUCAUAGAGGGUGAGAAUCCCGUCCUUGACACAGGCCCCCAGUGCUUUGUGAUGCACUCUCGACGAGUCGAGUUGUUUGGGAUUGCAGCUCAAGAUGGGAGGUAAAUUCCUUCUAAAGCUAAAUAUUGGCGAGAGACCGAUAGCGAACAAGUACCGUGAGGGAAAGAUGAAAAGCACUUUGGAAAGAGAGUUAAACAGUACGUGAAAUUGUUAAAAGGGAAACGCUUGAAGUCAGUCACGUUUGCUUGGACUCAGCCUUACUUCGGUUUGGUGCAUUUCCUUGCAGACGGGCCAGCGUCCAUGUUGUUUGCCGGAGAAGGGGUGAGAGAAUGUGGCUCCUUUGGGAGUGUUAUAGCUCUUGCUCGUAUGCGGGGAAUGAUAUGGAGUGGUACAGCACACUUUGGUGGUGCUUGUGCUGGCAUAAUGGCUUUAAACGACCCGUCUUGAAACACGG